UUCGAUGUCGGCUCUUCC
rnacentral:ncRNA from 3 species